GAUGAACGCUAGCUACAGGCUUAACACAUGCAAGUCGAGGGGCAGCAUGGUCUUAGCUUGCUAAGGCCGAUGGCGACCGGCGCACGGGUGAGUAACACGUAUCCAACCUGCCGUCUACUCUUGGACAGCCUUCUGAAAGGAAGAUUAAUACAAGAUGGCAUCAUGAGUCCGCAUGUUCACAUGAUUAAAGGUAUUCCGGUAGACGAUGGGGAUGCGUUCCAUUAGAUAGUAGGCGGGGUAACGGCCCACCUAGUCUUCGAUGGAUAGGGGUUCUGAGAGGAAGGUCCCCCACAUUGGAACUGAGACACGGUCCAAACUCCUACGGGAGGCAGCAGUGAGGAAUAUUGGUCAAUGGGCGAGAGCCUGAACCAGCCAAGUAGCGUGAAGGAUGACUGCCCUAUGGGUUGUAAACUUCUUUUAUAAAGGAAUAAAGUCGGGUAUGCAUACCCGUUUGCAUGUACUUUAUGAAUAAGGAUCGGCUAACUCCGUGCCAGCAGCCGCGGUAAUACGGAGGAUCCGAGCGUUAUCCGGAUUUAUUGGGUUUAAAGGGAGCGUAGAUGGAUGUUUAAGUCAGUUGUGAAAGUUUGCGGCUCAACCGUAAAAUUGCAGUUGAUACUGGAUAUCUUGAGUGCAGUUGAGGCAGGCGGAAUUCGUGGUGUAGCGGUGAAAUGCUUAGAUAUCACGAAGAACUCCGAUUGCGAAGGCAGCCUGCUAAGCUGCAACUGACAUUGAGGCUCGAAAGUGUGGGUAUCAAACAGGAUUAGAUACCCUGGUAGUCCACACGGUAAACGAUGAAUACUCACUGUUUGCGAUAUACGGCAAGCGGCCAAGCGAAAGCGUUAAGUAUUCCACCUGGGGAGUACGCCGGCAACGGUGAAACUCAAAGGAAUUGACGGGGGCCCGCACAAGCGGAGGAACAUGUGGUUUAAUUCGAUGAUACGCGAGGAACCUUACCCGGGCUUAAAUUGCAGAUGAAUUACGGUGAAAGCCGUAAGCCGCAAGGCAUCUGUGAAGGUGCUGCAUGGUUGUCGUCAGCUCGUGCCGUGAGGUGUCGGCUUAAGUGCCAUAACGAGCGCAACCCUUGUUGUCAGUUACUAACAGGUUCCGCUGAGGACUCUGACAAGACUGCCAUCGUAAGAUGUGAGGAAGGUGGGGAUGACGUCAAAUCAGCACGGCCCUUACGUCCGGGGCUACACACGUGUUACAAUGGGGGGUACAGAGGGCCGCUACCACGCGAGUGGAUGCCAAUCCCCAAAACCUCUCUCAGUUCGGACUGGAGUCUGCAACCCGACUCCACGAAGCUGGAUUCGCUAGUAAUCGCGCAUCAGCCACGGCGCGGUGAAUACGUUCCCGGGCCUUGUACACACCGCCCGUCAAGCCAUGGGAGCCGGGGGUACCUGAAGUGCGUAACCGCGAGGAGCGCCCUAGGGUAAAACUGGUGACUGGGGC
rnacentral:rRNA from 1 species